UCCGAGGACUCUGAGUAAAUCAGCAAAAGAAAUUUUCAUUUAGCAGAAACUCACUUAUUGCUGUUUUUCAUUGCCAUUGUUUUAUUAUUCUUACUAGUUUUAAAAUGUUAUGUUUAAGUUCUAAAAUGUUUUGGGUUUUGCAUGGGCACUGUCUUGUUAUUGUUUUAAUAGCCAGACUUUUGUUCUUAAUGCUUAAGGCUGAUGCUUAAAUUU